AGAUUUUUUUAAUUUAAAGUGAAUUAACCUGCCAGUGGAACUCAAACUUGGUUGCUAGGUAACGGGCUGGGCUUGGCUGGGGUUGCUAGGUAGCGAAAAAGUAGUAGUCCAGUGGCAGAUCAUUUCACUUAUGAUAACAGAUUUCCCCAU